rnacentral:misc_RNA from 1 species
GUAGUUUUUUUUUUUUUUUUUGGUAAAUGGAAUUUCUGUAUAGUUUCAUGCUUGUUAUGUUUGGGACCUAGUAAUGAAUUCAUAUACAAAUUACAAUUCCACAUUUUUAAUUUUAUAUGGAACACAUUUUACUCGCAACAAAUUCCAUCAAAGUUAAUAGAAUUUGUAAUGAACUUCUUGUCAAUCUCUCGCUUUUCUCUAUUCUCUCUUGUCCAAAUAUAAUUAUUGAAAUUUUAAGCCCUAAUAAAUGGUAUGCAAACACAAUUCAUUUGUAGUUGAAUUAUUAGUACAAUUCUUUUCCUUCUUUUUUUAUUUUUUUUGUAGAAAUAGAAUUCAUUUUGGUAAAAUUUAUUUUAGAAAUGAAAUUAAUUAUUUGUUCAAAUUGAUUCGAAAAAUAGCUGUAUGUUCAUUUCGCACCAUUUAGUCUAACAAACAGAUUUGUAAAGCAAAGAUGAAGCAAACUUGAAUCUUUGUCCCAAUAAUGUACUAUUUGCUAUCUUAGGCCCUAUUUGGCAUGGAGUUUUAAUGUCAAAAAGUUCUUUUCAGAAAAAUAACUGUUUUAGAUAAUGUUAAAAAAAACUAUUUUAUUAUUUUAGUGUUCUUAUAAUUAAAACAUAUCAAAUUUAUUUUUUAAUCAAUUUUUAAUAUUCUCUAACUGAUAACAAUAUAUUUAAGAAAGUGUUUUUCUAAAGGUAGCUCUGACUGAGGGGCCAAACAGACCCUUAGCAUUUUUAAUGAAAAGUACUUUCUACAGCUAUUUUGUUUUUAUUAUACUUUGUUUUCACUUUGUGCUCUUAGCUAUAGGAUGUGUUUUUAUUCCAUUCAUCUAUAGUGGUUAUUGACAAAGUAGUAUUUACCCUGUUAAGAAAGUCACCUUACAAUCUCCAUGCAAAUGUAUUUAUGGUAUACUUUAAAUAUUUUAUAUAUUUAAUUCUGCGAAAGAAAUACCAAUUUUCUUUGUGCCAGAGAUUUGGGAUGCUCUUCGUGC